GCGACCCCAGGUCAGGCGGGACUACCCGCUGAGUUUAAGCAUAUCAAUAAGCGGAGGAGAAGAAACUUACAAGGAUUCCCCUAGUAACGGCGAGCGAACCGGGAUCAGCCCAGCUUGGGAAUCGGGYGGCKUUGUCGUCCGAAUUGUAGUCUGUAGAAKCGUCCUCAGCGACGGACCRAGCCCAAGUCCCCUGGAAGGNGGCGCCGGAGAGGGUGAGAGCCCCGUCGUGCUCGGACCCUGUCGCACCACGAGGCGCUGUCGGCGAGUCGGGUUGUUUGGGAAUGCAGCCCCAAUCGGGCGGUAAAUUCCGUCYAAGGCUAAAUACYGGCGAGAGACCGAUAGCGAACAAGUACCGCGAGGGAAAGAUGAAAAGGACUUUGAAAAGAGAGUCAAAGAGUGCUUGAAAUUGUCGGGAGGGAAGCGGAUGGGGGCCGGCGAUGCRCRCCGGUCGGAUGCGGAAUGGCGNNAAGCUGGUCCGCNGCUCGGCUCGGUGCGCGGACCGACGCGGAUUGCGGAGGCGACCCAAGCCUAGCGUCNCNGGAACGCCCGUGGAGAUGUCGUCCCNGCGAUUGUGGUGGGCAGCACGCGCCUCACGGCGUGCNUCGGCAACUGCGUGCUCCCGGCGUCGGCCAGCGGGCUCCCCAUUCGGCCCGUCUUGAAACACGGACCAAGGAGUCUGACAUGUGUGCGAGUCAGCGGGCGAGUAAACCCGCGAGGCGCAAGGAAGCUAAUUGGCGGGAUCCCCCUGUGGGUUGCACCGUCGAC
rnacentral:rRNA from 1 species